rnacentral:rRNA from 1 species
UUUGUUACUUCAAACCAAUCGGACUUCGGUCUGACAUCAAGUGAUAUUGAACAAUUUAGCUGAUCGCACGGUCUAAGAACCGGCGACAUAUCCUUCAAAUGUCUGCCUUAUCAACUUUCGAUGGUAGAUUAUGCGCCUACCAUGGUUGUAACGGGUAACGGAGAAUCAGGGUUUGAUUCCGGAGAGGGAGCCUGAGAAACGGCUACCACAUCCAAGGAAGGCAGCAGGCACGCAAAUUACCCACUCCCGGCACGGGGAGGUAGUGACGAAAAAUAACAAGCUGGUCUCAAUGAGUUCCAGCAUUGUAAUGGGAACAAUUUAAAUCUUUUAUCGAGGAUCUAUUGGAGGGCAAGUCUGGUGCCAGCAGCCGCGGUAAUUCCAGCUCCAAUAGCGUAUAUUAAAGUUGUUGCGGUUAAAAGCUCGUAGUUGGAUCUAGGAUUAGGGCUACGGUCGUUCAGCUUGGACGUACUGUAUGCCCGACUCCUUUUCUCUAGUAUUCGAUUGUGCUCUUAAAUGAGKGACUUUAGUGCUGGAACUUUACCUUGGAAAAAUUGAAGGCUCAAAGCAGGUWAUGCC